GUCUUUGCUAUUUGGAAUAUCUACAAAUAAUCUGGAAAAGGAGGUCAACAGUGAAGUGAUAGACUUUACUGAUAAUACUAAGUUAUUCAGUAUAGGAAAGAUGAGGCUGGUGCAAAGAAAUGCAGGAGAAGGAGACUUUGUAACUAUUUCUCUGCUUCCAAAGGACUCUUAAGAAAAUUCUUACAAGUAGUCAAAAAAAUUCAAGUGGUACAUUUUUACCAUUUUGUGCAACUUGUCCCAUAUUAAUCUCACAGUAGCCAUGAAACUGUGGAAUUUUGAAAUUAUUUGUUACUAUUGUCAGAAAACUUUUAAAAUAAAGUUUGCAUGGGAAUGUCUUAUUAAACAAAAUGCACAA